GAACCUUCGGGGAACGAUAACGGCGUCGAGCGGCGGACGGGUGAGUAAUGCCUAGGAAAUUGCCCUGAUGUGGGGGAUAACCAUUGGAAACGAUGGCUAAUACCGCAUAACGCCUACGGGCCAAAGAGGGGGACCUUCGGGCCUCUCGCGUCAGGAUAUGCCUAGGUGGGAUUAGCUAGUUGGUGAGGUAAGGGCUCACCAAGGCGACGAUCCCUAGCUGGUCUGAGAGGAUGAUCAGCCACACUGGAACUGAGACACGGUCCAGACUCCUACGGGAGGCAGCAGUGGGGAAUAUUGCACAAUGGGCGCAAGCCUGAUGCAGCCAUGCCGCGUGUGUGAAGAAGGCCUUCGGGUUGUAAAGCACUUUCAGUCGUGAGGAAGGUAGUGUAGUUAAUAGCUGCAUUAUUUGACGUUAGCGACAGAAGAAGCACCGGCUAACUCCGUGCCAGCAGCCGCGGUAAUACGGAGGGUGCGAGCGUUAAUCGGAAUUACUGGGCGUAAAGCGCAUGCAGGUGGUUUGUUAAGUCAGAUGUGAAAGCCCGGGGCUCAACCUCGGAAUUGCAUUUGAAACUGGCAGACUAGAGUACUGUAGAGGGGGGUAGAAUUUCAGGUGUAGCGGUGAAAUGCGUAGAGAUCUGAAGGAAUACCGGUGGCGAAGGCGGCCCCCUGGACAGAUACUGACACUCAGAUGCGAAAGCGUGGGGAGCAAACAGGAUUAGAUACCCUGGUAGUCCACGCCGUAAACGAUGUCUACUUGGAGGUUGUGGCCUUGAGCCGUGGCUUUCGGAGCUAACGCGUUAAGUAGACCGCCUGGGGAGUACGGUCGCAAGAUUAAAACUCAAAUGAAUUGACGGGGCCCCGCACAAGCGGUGGAG
rnacentral:rRNA from 1 species